GGAACGCUGGCCAUAUGGAAGCAAAGCAAAUGAGCUAUGCUCAGUGAAGAGUGAAAGCACAACUCCUGUACCUUGCUUCGCUCGCUGCCUCUCUGUAAUUGUGCAUGACUUCCUGAGUGAUUGGAGAUGUUGGAUGUGAAGUGAGGAAUGUGCAGAUUCUCCAGCUCUCUCAACGGUCUCCAUCUGGCUUUGAGGAGGCUUGGAUUCAAAGCUACCAUCGUAAGCAAGGACAGUAACACUGUUGAGGGGCAAGGUUAGGCCCGAGAUCACCCAGCUGGCUCACCAAGACUGGAUUAGACCCAUACAGGUCUUGUUCUGACAAGUCCUCAGGAUAAGUAGACCC
rnacentral:lncRNA from 12 species